rnacentral:lncRNA from 1 species
AUGGUUAGUCAGAUGACCAGUAUCACCCAGACCGACAUCAUCAGCACCCUGCAGUCCCUGAACACGGUCACUGACAGUAACCCAGGGGUGGCUGUUGUCACUCAGGGGUUACUCACAGGUUACUCAGAGGUUACUCAUGGUUUACUCAUGGUUAGUCAGAUGACGAGUAUCACCCAGACCGACAUCAUCAGCACCCUGCAGUCGCUGAACACGGUCACUGACAGUAACCCGGGGUGGAGCAGUGAUGGGUCGGAGGUUACUCACAGGUUACUCACAGGUUACUCACAGGUUACUCACGGUUUACUCAGUCAGAUGACCAGUAUCACCCAGACCGACAUCAUCAGCACUCUGCANNNNNNNNNNNNNNNNNNNNNNNNNNNNNNNNNNNNUGGGAAUGUUUUGGGAAUUCUCUGGGAAUGUUUUGGGAACAUUUUGGGAAUUCUUUGGGAAUUUUUUGGGAGUUUUUUGGGAAUGUUUUGGGAAUUUUUGGGAAUUUUUUGGGAAUUCUCUGGGGAAUUUUUUUGGGAAUUUUUUGGGAAUUUUUGGGGAAUUCUCUGGGAAUUUUUUGGGAAUGUUUUGGGAAUUUUUGGGGAUUUUUGGGGAAUUUUUGGGGAAUAUUUUGGGAGUUUUUUGGGAAUUUUGGGGGAUUUUUUGGGAGUUUUUUGGGAAUUCUCUGGGAAUUUUUUUGGGAAUUCUCUGGGAAUUUUUAGGAAUGUUUUGGGAAGUUUUGGGAAUUCUCUGUUAAUUCUUUGGGAAUUCUCUGGGAAUGUUUUGGGAAUGUUUUGGGAUUUUUUUGGGAAUUUUUUGGGAAUGUUUUGGGAAUUCUCUGGGGAAUUUUUUUGGGAAUUUUUGGGGAAUUCUCUGGGAAUUUUUUGGGAAUGUUUUGAGAAUUUUUUGGGUAUUUUUGGGGAUUUUUUUGGGAAUUUUUUUGGGGAAUGUUUUGGGAAUUUUUGGGAAUUUUUUGGGAAUUCUCUGGGGAAUUUUUUUGGGAAUUUUUGGGGAAUUUUUUGGGAAUUUUUUGUGAAUUCUUUGGGAAUUUUUGGGGAAUGUUUUGGGAAUGUUUUGGGGAUUUUUGGGGAAUUUUUGGGAGUUUUUUGGGGAAUUUUUUGGGGAAUUUUUGGGAGUUUUUUGGGAAUUCUCUGGGGAAUUUUUGGGGAAUUUUUUGGGAACAUUUUGGGAAUUCUCUGUUAA